rnacentral:rRNA from 1 species
CCGGUUGAUCCUGCCGGAGGUCACUGCUAUUGGGAUUCGACUAAGCCAUGCGAGUCGAGAGGGUUCGGCCCUCGGCGAACUGCUCAGUAACACGUGGAUAAUUUGCCCUUAGGUGGAGGAUAACCUCGGGAAACUGAGAAUAAUACUCCAUAGAUCUAGGAUGCUGGAAUGCACUUAGAUUAAAAGCUCCGGCGCCUAAGGAUAAGUCUGCGGACUAUCAGGUUGUAGUCAGGGUAAAGACCUGACUAGCCUACAACGGAUACGGGUUGUGAGAGCAAUAACCCGGAGACGAUAUCUGAGACACGAUAUCGGGCCCUACGGGGCGCAGCAGGCGCGAAACCUUCGCACUGUGCGAAAGCGCGAUGAGGGAAUCCCAAGUGCUUGCUCGUAAGAGUAAGCUGUUUUUAUGUCUAAAAAGCAUAGAGAGUAAGGGCUGGGUAAGACGGGUGCCAGCCGCCGCGGUAAUACCUGCAGCUCAAGUGGUGAUCAUUAUUAUUGGGCCUAAAACGUCCGUAGCCGGUUUGGUAAGUGCCUGGGUAAAUCGUGUAGCUUAACUAUACGAAUUCCGGGUAGACUGCCAAACUUGAGACCGGGAGAGGCUAGAGGUACUCCUGGGGUAGAGGUGAAAUUCUGUAAUCCUAGGGGGACCACCAGUGGCGAAGGCGUCUAGCUAGAACGGGUCUGACGGUCA